rnacentral:lncRNA from 1 species
AACUUGUCAGUAUCGCUGAACUUAGAAAAAAACCUUUGUGGGUAUUACUGAAAUAUGAAAGGGAAGGAAGUAUAUUAAAAGUCUCAAAUUGUUUGAAAUGUGACAUUACGAGGUGUUCCUUCUGGCUCCUAUAGGAUGGACACUCCACAGCUGACCUUGACUGAACUCCGGGUCCUUCUUGAGCAGAUGGGCAGCCUGCCCUGUGCCAUGCAUCAGAUUGGGGAUGUCAAGGUUCUUUCCUGGAAGUGGCGGAGAUAUGUGUUCCCAUACCAUCUCUGUGUGUACAGCAUGCAAGGAAAUAUCCUUCCAGACUGAAAUAAUUAAAAACUCUAAACUGGGCCUACAUAAGACACUGGCUCUUGGGAAUGGGGUGGAGAGGACUGAUUGGUUGGUUGGUUGAUUUCCCUCCAGACACCAGAGUCUUAGAAAGCUUACUAGAUGGAUAAGAUUGUAUUAAAGUGGGUUUGGAAAAAGAAAUUUAGGUAAUUAAAGGAGAAAAAUGUCAUUCUAGGUAAACAGAGGGCCUUUGUUAUUAUCAGAUAGAUCAUGUUUUAGGAUGUGGUUGAGAAUAAGUAUUAAGCAAUAGGAAAUGCCUAUAAGAGAAGAUGAGAAGUGGAGCAAAUCUAGGUGGUUGAGUAUUUAUGUGGCUAAAGAAUCUGCAUUUUAUCCUAUGUCCUUGCAGGAUGUCCUGGAACAGGUGGAGGCCUAUCAAGCUGAGGCUCGUGAGGCUCUGGCCACACUGCCCUCUAGUCCAGGGCUAUUGCGGUCCCUGUUGGAGAGGGGGCAGCAGCU